GUCUGCAACUCGACUACAUGAAGCUGGAAUCGCUAGUAAUCGCAGAUCAGAAUGCUGCGGUGAAUACGUUCCCGGGUCUUGUACACACCGCCCGCCACACCAUGGGAGUCGGAAAUGCCCGAAGCCGGUGACCAAAACCAAUAAGGAAGGAGCCGUCGAAGGCAGGUCUGAUAACUGGGGUGAAGUCGUAACAAGGUACC
rnacentral:rRNA from 1 species